UACGGAGGGGGCUAGCGUUGUUCGGAAUUACUGGGCGUAAAGCGCACGUAGGCGGCUUUGUAAGUUAGAGGUGAAAGCCCGGGGCUCAACCCCGGAAUUGCCUUUAAUACUGGCAAUCUCGAGUCCGAGAGAGGUGAGUGGAAUUCCGAGUGUAGAGGUGAAAUUCGUAGAUAUUCGGAGGAACACCAGUGGCGAAGGCGGCUCACUGGCUCGGUACUGACGCUGAGGUGCGAAAGCGUGGGGAGCAAACAGG
rnacentral:rRNA from 1 species